rnacentral:lncRNA from 1 species
GAACUAUUGUUCCAGUUCUCGGAGAUCUCUGAAAGGAUUUUAUUCUGGAAUAAUAUUGCAGAUAGUUCAGGAACCAUGCUACCUGUUCUCUAACUGAACCAAGAACCAGACCCUGGAGCAGGACUGUGCUGGUACUGGUUGGCUGCAGGUCCACUGGAGUCCUAGCGUUGAGAGAGACCCUAAUAGGUCAAGCAUGGAACUCUUUAGGAAGAAAAUUAAUGCAUCCUUGGACUCCUGAAGGAAGAGCCUUCCUGAUGGGACCAUUUUCAAGGGUGGAGUGAAAAGUGGAUCCAUAAAGUACCAGCACUGACACUUUCAAGGCCUCUUCAUUAGUAACUGAGCCAACCCAAUCAAACAGGAAGAGUGCUGCAAGCCUAAUACCUAUACAAAAUUUAAAAGGAAAAAAAUCUAAACAAAUACUGAAAUGCACCUGAAACAAGCCGCAGAAAGGUGUGUGAUGACAUAAAGGUUUUAUUGACAAUGUGCGAGACGCCCACAUACCAGUGAGUUACACAGGUCACCGCAGAUGGGUUCCAAUGAAAACUUUAUACCAACACGAACAGUCCUAUUUAUAGAGGUAGCUCUCUAUCUAAAUAUAAACUCAUCGCAGUCAUGUCUAGACCAACAUUAGAGCUGUGCAAAUGUUGAAAGUGGGGGUUCAGAAGUAAGAGUAUAAGCUAUACUAUUUUUCAAGUUGCUACAUAUUAUAAUUAGCAUCUAAACUUUGUGACAGAGUUGCAUAUGUGAAUGUCACAGGACAUUGUGUUGCCCAAGACAUCUUUUCUUUCUCCUUUUUAAGUGUCAGAAGGUAUAUCUGGUGAAUGUGACCUGUAAGCUAAAUAUUCUUCAGCGUAUGUUUAAAGCUUUGAGAAUGUAUCAGUGGGUGGAUGGAUGGAUAGAUCAGUAAAUGACUUUCAUUGCUAACUAUUUUCAGCAGUUGAGUUUUAAUGAGUCUUUCAACUGUUGCUACUGUGUUUAAUCUGCUCGCUUACUCAGCAUUCAACAUUAAAGAAGCUUUCUAGGAGGUUAGUGUUGUCAUGAUUACAAAAGAGGUUAGGUUGAUUGUGUUCUGCACAGACCUUGUGUUAAGUUCCUUUUUUUUUUUUUUAAAUUGAGAAAUAUAUGCUGUGCAUACAGAUAAUUAGGAUAGAUCGGUGUUGUGUUUGGAUGUGCACAUCCAGAUAUACAAUUGCUAUAUUAAGAUAAAUAACUGAAAGUGAAUAAAAUUAUAAACAAAUGUCCUGAUUCUCUAGCA